UAAUACGAGGGGGGCAAGCGUUGUCCGGAUUUAUUGGGCGUAAAGGGUUCGUAGGUGGAAUAGUAAGUCGAAAUUGAAAGGCCACGGCUUAACCGUGGAAACAGUUUCGAUACUGCUAAUCUAGAGUUAGGUAGAGGUAAGUGGAAUUCCUGGUGUAGCGGUGAAAUGCGUAGAUAUCAGGAGGAACGCCAACGGAGAAGUCAGCUUACUGGGCCUAUACUGACACUGAGGAACGAAAGCGUGGGUAGCAAACAGGAUUAGAGACCCUGGUAGUCCACGCUGUAAACGAUCAGCACUUGGUGAUGGGGGAUUCGACCCCUUCAUUGCCGGAGUUAACGCGUUAAGUGCUGCGCCUGGGGAGUACGGUCGCAAGGCUG
rnacentral:rRNA from 1 species